rnacentral:rRNA from 1 species
AGUAAAUAGAUACCCCGGUAGUCCACGCCGUAAACGAUGUCGACUUGGAGGUUGUGCCCUUGAGGCGUGGCUUCCGGAGCUAAACGCGUUAAAGUCGACCGCCUGGGGAGUACGGCCGCAAGGUUAAAACUCAAAUGAAUUGACGGGGGCCCGCACAAGCGGUGGAGCAUGUGGUUUAAUUCGAUGCAACGCGAAGAACCUUACCUACUCUUGACAUCCAGAGAACUUUUCAGAGAUGGAUUGGUGCCUUCGGGAACUCUGAGACAGGUGCUGCAUGGCUGUCGUCAGCUCGUGUUGUGAAAUGUUGGGUUAAGUCCCGCAACGGGCGCAACCCUUAUCCUUUGUUGCCAGCGGUUAGGCCGGGAACUCAAAGGAGACUGCCAGUGAUAAACUGGAGAAGUGGGGAUGACGUCAAGUCAUCAUGGCCCUUACGAGUAGGGCUACACACGUGCUACAAUGGCGCAUACAAAGAGAAGCGACCUCGCGAGAGCAAGCGGACCUCAUAAAGUGCGUCGUAGUCCGGAUUGGAGUCUGCAAC